rnacentral:tmRNA from 1 species
AGAGAUCGCGUGGAAGCCCUGCCUGGGGUUGAAGCGUUAAAACUUAAUCAGGCUAGUUUGUUAGUGGCGUGUCCGUCCGCAGCUGGCAAGCGAAUGUAAAGACUGACUAAGCAUGUAGUACCGAGGAUGUAGGAAUUUCGGACGCGGGUUCAACUCCCGCCAGCUCCACCA